AGCUUUGCGCAGUGGCAGUAUCGUAGCCAAUGAGGUUUAUCCGAGGCGCAAUUAUUGCUAAUUGAAAACUUAUCAUCCAUGUUACAAAACUAGUAAAUGAAAAGUAAAAAGAAAC
rnacentral:snRNA from 1 species